UUUGUAAUGUGCUUUGAAAUUAGAAAAGGUGAGGUCACUAACACUGUUUCUUUUUUAAAACAUUUUUGUGCUCUUUAUUGUCCCUUGAGAUUCCAUAUAAAUUUUUGGUUGCUUUUUCUAUUUCUAAAAGAAAAAAAAAAUUGUUAAUUGUAAAGGGAUUGCAUUGAAUCCGUAGCUCACUAGGCAGCACGAACAUCUUCACAAUAUUAAGUCUUACAAUGUUUGAACAUGAACAUGCUCAAAAGUGAGUUAAUUUCCAUAUGUAUGUUGACAUUUUUGUUUUCUUCUGUUAUUGAUUUCUAGUUUUAUUCCAUGUUUAUCAGAAAUAAUAAUCUUUAAGAUUUAUAUUUUUAAAAAAUUGUUAAGUCUUCUUUUGUGGCCUACUAGGUGGUGUAUCUAGGAGAAUGUUUUAUGAGCUAUUGAGGAAAUUGUAUGUUUUGCUGUUGCUGUGUAUUCUGUAUAUGCCCACUAGGUCUAAUUUUUCUCUAGUGUUUUCAAACCUUCUGUUUCCUUAUUAAUAUUUUGGCUAGCUAUAUUAAUUAUUAUGAAAGUUUGAAUUAAAAUAUUCUACUAUUAUUAUUUUUAUCUAUUGUAAUAAUUAUUUCAAUGUUCGCUUUAUACAUUUGGGAACACUGGUUGAGAAUUUUAUAUAUAUAUAUAUAUACACACACACACAUAUAUAUAAAAUAAAAUUUCAUAAGUUCUCAGUGAAUGAGCCCUUCUAUUAUUAUUUAAUGGCCUUCUUUGUCUCCUGUGACAGUUUAGACUUAAAGUUUAUUUUAUGAACUAUGACUAAAAUGUAUUUUGCCUAACACAGUUAUGACCAGCACUGCUUUCAUUCGAUUACCAUUUACAUCAAAAGUCUAUUUUCAUUUUUUUAUUUUGAGACGGAGUUUCGCUCUUGUUACCCAGGCUGGAGUGCAAUGGCACGAUCUCAGCUCACCGCAACUUGUGCCUCCUGAGUUCAAAUGAUUCUCCUUCCUCAGCCUCCCAAGGAGAUGGGAUUAUGGGCGCCCACCACCACGCCCGGCUAGACUUUUUGUAUUUUGAGUAGAGAUGUGGGGCUUCACCAUAUUGGCCAGGCUGGUCUCGAAAUCCUGAACUCGUGAUUCACCCGCCUCGGACUCCCAAAGUGCUGGGAUUAUAGGCGUGAGCCACUGCUCCUGGCCCAUAAAACCUCCUAAAGAUGACAAUAUAUUUUAAAUUGGUAACAACUUAACUUUUUUUUCUUUUUUUUGAGACGGAGUCUCGCUCUGUCGCCCAGGCUGGAGUGCAAUGGAGUGAUCUCAGCUCACUGCAAACCCCGCCUCCCUGGUUCAAGUGAUUCCACUGCCUCAGUUUCCCGAGUAGCUGGGAUUACAGGUGCCUGUCACCAUGCCCAGCUAAUUUUUUUUGGUAUUUUUAGUAGAGAUGGGGUUUCACCAUGUUGGCCAGGCUGGUCUCAAACUCCUGACCUCAGGUGAUCUACCUGCCUCAGCCUCCAAAAAUGCUGGGAUUUCAGGCAUGAGCCACCGUGCCUGGCCAGUAACAACUUAACUUUAGUUGCAUACAAACAUUCUUCCUCUUUCCAUCUGCCUCACCUUUAUGUUAUUGAUGUUACUAAUAUCUUUUUAUAUUAUAUAUCAUUAACAAACUUUUUUGACUAUUUUUACACUUUUUUAAAAUUAUAUAACAUAUUACAUAUGUUUUAGGAACCAUCAUUUGAAUUCAUCAUAAUUUUAUUUUUGUGCCUGUAUAUGUCUUUUCUAGAGAGUUAUGUACUGUCAUGUAAUUUUGCAACGCUGUUUAACAUCACUUUAUUUUUAAUGAGAAAAACUCUCUUUAGCAUUUCUUCUAGUGCCG
rnacentral:lncRNA from 1 species